UCUCCGGUUGGCGCCGAGGAGGCGGGACCGGCUGGCAGUGAGAGGCGCGGCCUAGAGCGGCGGGAGGCGCGUCCAGCCCAAGCGAGGGAUCCAGUCCGCCCUGAGGUCCUCAGGGAGGCCAGUGGUUGGGAAUCCCCGGGUCGUGGGAGGGCGCUGCGCCGUCCUGUGGGUUCCGCCUGCGCCGCUCGGCCCGUCUGGGUCACAGACACCACCGCCCGAGCCAACGUUACGUGCAGAUCAUUCUGCAAACCGGCAAUUCCAGCAAAGCAAACUUACACCUCAUACCCUGGGUUCACGUCCACCUCACUGACAGGCCGAGGAUAAAGGCCUCGGAGCCAGCGAGGAGACGCAGACUUCAGUCUUUUGGGGAAUGGGGUGGGGUUUGGUUAGGCCUGCUCAGCUCAGAUGUAAAAUUACAAGACACGUAACCCGGGACCUAGGAGUGUGGGCCGCACGGGCGGCGCUCUGUGGCUGAGGGCCAUCUCGGGAGAUGCAGUUAUUUUUGCUUUUUGAGGGUUAGUUCUUCCUGCUUGGACGCUUUUGGAAGCACGGGAAGCACAUGGGGUCUAACUAGGGGAGGUGCCUCCCAAGCCUUCCUCCUCUGCCGAGGGUGUGCCUGGCAGGGACGGGCCCUUUCCACGUGGGUGACAGGGGCAAAGGCCCCGGCUGGACUCGGAAGGGCCCACUGCUUUGCUAGGAAGAUCGCCCAUCCUUCGAACUUCACCUUUCUCGGAAGGAAAAAAAUCUUCGCAGUUUACCUAGAACGGUGAUUUUUCAGGAAAUGGUCAAAGCUGCUUAUAAUCCACAGAAACCACACUCACAAACAGGAGAAGAAGCAAAGCAAGACAAGAAAGCAAGCAUGAAAGUGUGUUAUCGAGAACAGCUCUGCACCCAGCCUGAGCCUGGGGGUCCUGGGUGACCCUGAGCGGCAGCCAUUGCCAGCCCCAGGACAUGGGCAGGGACACAGGGUCACGGCCCCCACAGCAGGGCAGGAAACCAGGAAUCAGGACACUCUCAGCAGCAGGCCCUCGGCGGUGAGUGCCGGUAAUAGGGUCCGGCCCUGGGACCCUCAGACAGCCAGGAGCGCUGGGGCACCAACCGUGACCUGGGGCCGGGACAGGGCCGUCUCCUCACACCUCACGGCCCGCACUCGACGGGCACACUGGCCAUGCUGGUUAGUCCAGCGGCUUCUCUCCCUCUUCCAAGUCAGGGAAGGAGGGGUCACAGGCUGGAGUCCAUCUCCCAGGGCAGGCUGCAGGAACGGUCUGGCUGGGGCCGCGCUCCCAGGGAGACAACAGUGCCCAGGACCCGGUCUCUCGUGACCCGAGCUGUGGGUGGGAGAAGCGGCUGCCCGACGGCCAGGGUAUGGCGUGCCGGACACCCUCCUGGGAGGACGUCUUGCAGACGGGAAUGAAUGCAGGCUGAGGUCGGAGCCCUUUGGUGGUUCAAGGUCCUGUUGAACAAGACUCGGGUGCCUCAGGGAGCUGAGCCUCGGGGUCCCAGCAGCCCAGCCGGGGCGCCGCCCUGACCACCACCACGAGCACAGGAGCACAGCAGUCUGACGCCCUCACCCUCACCGAGAGGGCCGGCCGAGACCUCCACGGGUGCAGGCAGUGGAGCUGGGGAGGGAGCAGGAGGGACUGCGCUCAGCAGCAGGUUCUGCACCCCAGGGGCCGCACUACAUCCCUGCCAGCGGCUGUGGCCUAGGGAUCCCUGAGACCCUGGAGAGGGUCGGGGGGCCUGUUGGGUGGGUGGGCUGGGCGGCCGCCAGGAAAGGAGACUGUGGACAUUCAGAGGCUGGUCACCCAGGGAGAUGGCAGCCACUCCGCCCGCCCUCGGCCCGACUUGAAAGAAGUGAGAACAGACAGAAUUCAAAGACGCCAACAAAAGAGCUUCCUGUUGACACCGACA